rnacentral:misc_RNA from 1 species
CAUCCUCAACCUUCUUGGUCUUUUUUGACUUUAGAAGGCUUGGACUUUGGGGGUUUUUGCUGGCCUUUAUUUUUAAAAGCCAGCUCCUCCUAAAUGCAUUAGUAGGGUCUACAUUGUCGAUCCUCGACGUUGAUAAGAUGCUUCUACGUCUUGGUUUACCUUUUGUAGCCUGCUUCUAACCGUCUCAUUGGAGACAAAGCGGCUCAAGUUUUCACUUGAACCCACAAAGC